CCUCGUUUCCCGAAAAAGUAGUGAAAUUCGUGCCACGACCUGUUCUGGAACGAUGCCAAGUUCGGUACGCAUGAACUCGCCAACGAAAGACGUUGUUCAGGAUGCAGAUCACUAAGAAUGACUCAAAAGGCGAUUGCGGUUUUUUAAAAGUCUAUUCAGGAUUUGGGUUAACUUACAUAUUUAUGCCAGUUUCGCCAUCGCCAAAAUAUACAAGUCACUUCUUAAAGAGAGAGGAUCGUCCUCCAAGGUCGAAUGGAUGUGUUCUUGCAACAAUUAGAGGUGAUUGCGACAGAUUUCUUAAAUCUUUAUCUUAGGUUUUUAUUUCCUGGGAAGGAUUGAAUGAUGGCUGACAAGCAGUGAGAAUGCGCAAUCAAAAUGGACUUCUGAAGACUCGUGGCUCCUGGUCCCUUUCAAGCGCCUUAUUUUAAUCAUUCGCUGGUUUAAUUAAAUUUUAUUAAGUUUUGUUAA